rnacentral:rRNA from 1 species
CACGUAGGGUGCGAGCGUUGUCCGGAAUUAUUGGGCGUAAAGAGCUCGUAGGCGGUUUGUCGCGUCGGCCGUGAAAUCUCCACGCUUAACGUGGAGCGUGCGGUCGAUACGGGCAGACUUGGAGUUCGGUAGGGGAGACUGGAAUUCCCAGUGUAGCGGUGAAAUGCGUAGAUAUUGGGAAGAACACCUGAGGCGAAGGCGGGAUUGCUGGGCUGAUACUGACGCUGGAGGCGACGAAAGCCGUGGGGAGCAAACAGG